ensembl:lncRNA
GCAAGUCAGUUAAGAACAAAUUCUUACAUUAUAAACAUUAUAAACCAGCAUCAGGACAUCAAUAAGCUGCUCCCUAACAUUAUAAACCUGCAUCAGGACAUCAAUAAAGUACUCCCUAACAUUAUAAACCUGCAUCAGGACAUCAAUAAGCUGUUCCCAAACAUUAUAAACCAGCAUCAGGACAUCAAUAAGCUGCUCCCUAACAUUAUAAACCUGCAUCAGGACAUCAAUAAAGUACUCCCUAACAUUAUAAACCUGCAUCAGGACAUCAAUAAUCUGCUACCUAACAUUAUAAACCUGCAUCAGGACAUCAAUAAACUGCUCCCAAACAUUAUAAACCAGCAUCAGGACAUCAAUAAGCUGCUCCCUAACAUUAUAAACCUGCAUCAGGACAUCAAUAAUCUGCUCCAUAACAUUAUAAACCUGCAUCAGGACAUCAAUAAGCUGCUCCCAAAAAUUAUAAACCUGCAUCAGGACAUCAAUAAACUGCUCCCUAACAUUAUAAACCUGCAUCAGGACAUCAAUAAUCUGCUCCCAGACAUUAUAAACCUGCAUCAGGACAUCAAUAAUAUACUCCCAGAUUUUAUAAACCUGCAUCAGGACAUCAUUAAUCUGCACCCAGACAUUAUACACCUGCAUCAGGACAUCAAUAAGCUGCUCCCAAACAUUAUAAACCUGCAUCAGGAUAUCAAUAAGCUGCUCCCUAACAUUAUAAACCUGCAUCAGGACAUCAAUAAGCUGCUCCCUAACAUUACAAACCUGCAUCAGGACAUCAAUAAACUGCUCCCUAACAUUAUAAACCUGCAUCAGGACAUAAAUAAAUUGCUCCCUAACAUUAUAAACCUGCAUCAGGACAUCAAUAAUCUGCUCCAUAACAUUAUAAACCUGCAUCAGGACAUCAAUAAGCUGCUCCCAAAAAUUAUAAACCUGCAUCAGGACAUCAAUAAACUGCUCCCUAACAUUAUAAACCUGCAUCAGGACAUCAAUAAUCUGCUCCCAGACAUUAUAAACCUGCAUCAGGACAUCAAUAAUAUACUCCCAGAUUUUAUAAACCUGCAUCAGGACAUCAUUAAUCUGCACCCAGACAUUAUACACCUGCAUCAGGACAUCAAUAAGCUGCUCCCAAACAUUAUAAACCUGCAUCAGGAUAUCAAUAAGCUGCUCCCUAACAUUAUAAACCUGCAUCAGGACAUCAAUAAGCUGCUCCCUAACAUUACAAACCUGCAUCAGGACAUCAAUAAACUGCUCCCUAACAUUAUAAACCUGCAUCAGGACAUAAAUAAAUUGCUCCCUAACAUUAUAAACCUGCAUCAGGACAUCAAUAAGCUGCUCCCUAACAUUAUAAACCAGCAUCAGGACAUCAAUAAAUUGCUCCCAGACAUUAUAAACCAUCAGGACAUCAAUAAGCUACUCCCAGACAUUAUAAACCGGCAUCAGGACAUCAAUAAGCUGCUCCCAAACAUUAUAAACCAGCAUCAGGACAUCAAUAAUCUGCUCCCAAACAUUAUAAACCUGCAUCAGGACAUCAAUAACCUGCUCCCAAACAUUGUAAACCUGCAUCAGGACAUCAAUAAGAUGCUCCCAAACAUUAUAAACCUGCAUCAGGACAUCAGUAAACUGCUACCUAACAUUAUAAACCUGCGUCAGGACAUCAAUAAUCUGCUACCUAACAUUAUAAACCUGCAUCAGGACAUCAAUAAUCUGCUACCUAACAUUAUAAACCUGCAUCAGGACAUCAAUAAACUGCUCCCAAACAUUAUAAACCAGCAUCAGGACAUCAAUAAGAUGCUCCCUAACAUUAUAAACCUGCAUCAGGACAUCAAUAAUCUGCUCCAUAACAUUAUAAACCUUCAUCAGGACAUCAAUAAGCUGCUCCCUAACAUUACAAACCUGCAUCAGGACAUCAAUAAGCUGCUCCCUAACAUUACAAACCUGCAUCGGGACAUCAAUAAACUGCUCCCUAACAUUAUAAACCUGCAUCAGGACAUCAAUAAGCUGCUCCCUAACAUUACAAACCUGCAUCAGGACAUCAAUAAACUGCUCCCUAACAUUAUAAACCUGCAUCAGGACAUCAAUAAGCUGCUCACAAACAUUACAAACCUGCAUCAGGACAUCAAUAACCUGCUCCCAAACAUUAUAAACCUGCAUCAGGACAUCAAUAAGCUGUUCCCAAACAUUAUAAACCAGCAUCAGGACAUCAAUAAGCUGCUCCCUAACAUUAUAAACCUGCAUCAGGACAUCAAUAAGCUGCUCCCAGACAUUAUAAACCGGCAUCAGGACAUCAAUAAUCUGCUCCAUAACAUUAUAAACCUUCAUCAGGACAUCAAUAAUCUGCUCCCAAACAUUACAAACCUGCAUCAGGACAUCAAUAAUCUGCUCCAUAACAUUAUAAACCGGCAUCAGGACAUCAAUAAGCUGCUCCCAAACAUUAUAAACCUGCAUCAGGACAUCAAUAAUCUUCUCCCAAACAUUACAAACCUGCAUCAGGACAUCAAUAAUCUGCUCCAUAACAUUAUAAACCUUCAUCAGGACAUCAAUAAGCUGCUCCCAAACAUUAUAAACCUGCAUCAGGACAUCAAUAAGCUGCUCCCUAACAUUAUAAACCUGCAUCAGGAUAUCAAUAAAUUGUUCCCUAACAUUAUAAACCUGCAUCAGGACAUCAAUAAGCUGCUCCCUAACAUUACAAACCUGCAUCAGGACAUCAAUAAACUGCUCCCUAACAUUAUAAACCUGCAUCAGGACAUCAAUAAGCUGCUCCCUAACAUUACAAACCUGCAUCAGGACAUCAAUAAACUGCUCCCUAACAUUAUAAACCUGCAUCAGGACAUCAAUAAUAUACUCCCAGAUUUUAUAAACCUGCAUCAGGACAUCAAUAAGCUGCUCCCAAACAUUAUAAACCUGCAUCAGGACAUCAAUAGUCUGCUCCCAAACAUUACAAACCUGCAUCAGGACAUCAAUAAUCUGCUCCAUAACAUUAUAAACCUGCAUCAGGACAUCAAUAAGCUGCUCCCUAACAUUAUAAACCUGCAUCAGGACAUCAAUAAACUGCUCCCAAACAUUAUAAACCUGCAUCAGGACAUCAAUAAACUGCUCCCUAACAUUAAAAAACCUUCAUCAGGACAUCAAUAAGCUGCUCCAUAACAUUAUAAACCUGCAUCAGGACAUCAAUAAAUUGUUCCCUAACAUUAUAAACCUGCAUCAGGACAUCAAUAAUCUGCUCCCUAACAUUAUAAACCAGCAUCAGGACAUCAAUAAAUUGCUCCCAGACAUUAUAAACCUUCAUCAGGACAUCAAUAAGCUUCUCCCAGACAUUAUAAACCAGCAUCAGGACAUCAAUAAAUUGCUCCCAGACAUUAUAAACC